GUCGCUAUAGUCUAGUCGGUCAGGAUACGUGGCUUUCACCCACGCGACCCGGGUUCGAGUCCCGGUAGCGACA